UAAUAAAAUAAUGUAAUUUAUCAUUAUAAGAUAUAUUUUUAUAGUUUUGAGGUAUUAAAAAUUUUCAUUUUUUUAAUUAUAUAACACCAAAAUGGCAAAACUUACUCAACCCGAUUUGCUUGACAUCACCUACUAAAAAUCAUUGCGUACACAAUUCAAUAUAUCUCCUAACAUUUUUGAAGGUAUUGAUAUAACUCUAGAAAUUAUAAUUGAAAUUUUUUGACGAGAGUUUGCUAGCGUGUAAGUACAUCUUUAUUUAUAUGAUAACAAAUAUAAAUAUAUAACAUAAUAUUGUAAUUUCACCCCAAAAAAAAAGAAAAUAUAUUGUUAAUAACACCUAUCA
rnacentral:lncRNA from 1 species